rnacentral:rRNA from 1 species
AUCACCGAAGUCAAGCAUCAUUGGGCGCUGUCAGUACUUGUUUGGGUGACCACCUGGGAACACCGCGUGCCGUUA